rnacentral:rRNA from 1 species
AACGAACGCUGGCGGCGUGCCUAACACAUGCAAGUCGAGCGAGAAAGCUCCUUCGGGAGUGAGUAAAGCGGCGCACGGGUGAGUAACACGUAGGUAACCUACCCUCGAGCCUGGGAUAACCUACCGAAAGGUGGGCUAAUACCGGAUAUGACCACGGGAGCCACGGCUCCUGCGGUGAAAGAUGGCCUAAGCUUGCAAGCUAUCACUUGAGGAUGGGCCUGCGCACCANAGCUAGUUGGCGGGUAAUGGCCCACCAAGGCUAUGAUGGUUAGCUGGUCUGAGAGGAUGGCCAGCCACACGUGGGACUAGAAACACGGCCCAGACUCCUACGGAGGCAGCAGUGGGGAUAUUGCGCAAUGGGCGAAAGCCUGACGCAGCGACGCCGCGUGGGUGA